rnacentral:lncRNA from 1 species
AGGCAGUGCAAUCAUGCUAUUUAUUAAAAGAAGCAUUGGACAAUCCGAAUGGACUUCAGAGCUGUGUCCUGAGCCAUCUGGCCAACUCUCGGGCAAGAAACUUCUUUGUUCUUUAGAGACCAAGCUUUUUCCCCAAGCGCUAACAGAAUUGAAAUGGAAGAAGUUGGAAUUAUUCGUCUUUGGAAUAAUCUUACCUCAACCAGGUGUGAGCUUACCCCACACACACUUCAAUUUUUAUUCCAUCGGGAUGGCGGAAACUUAGUCAAGCUUCCCUCGUGCCCUCACCUCCCAGAACGGACAGCUACACUUCAAAGUACGUGUGUGGUGAGUUCUACGGUGCGUCUGCCUGGGCAGCGGCUUCCCCCGGGAGCGCCCAUCCUCUGCCCUGGGUCUCAGGCCUCGGUCUCUGUGGGUCAACGCUGAGAUUGUCCUAUUCCUUCUCUCCUGGCCCUCCAGGUCCCUGGGUGUCCUCGGCUAAGUUCAAACCACGCUGGGGUACGGAGGGCUCGGAGGUGGUGUCGGGGGGCCUAUUUCUUAUACUCAGUAGACAAUUUCUCUCUUUCUGUGUUUGGGCAUUAGCUUGGAAUAAUUCUUUUUAUAUCUGCUUUCUGUUGUCACCUCUGAGCCACGCAGUAAUGACCACAGCCUGGCUGCUCUGAGUGUAAGGUGGGGAAGGGGAAAGUGGGGAAAUUUUGGGAAAUUGUCAGUUAGUUUUCAAAAAUGCUGUAUGUCUACAUUUCUAUUCUAGAAAAAUAGUUACUAAAACUAUUCCCCCCCCCCAAAAAAAAAAAUCCUACAGAAGUAUUCUUUCUUUUCUAGGUGGCCGUCUCCUGCUCCUCCUACCCACCCGCCUCAAUCAUGCUUUGGGUCUCCAUCCAGAACGUGUUCUUCGAGGACAGUAACUCCCACAGGGAAAGCAGCAUCUGGCCAUGUGGGUGAUCUAUUCUCCAGCCUCUCGAAGUUGUGUAGGUAAGUCUGGCUAAGUUACUGCCUCCCUCAUCUGGGGGUUGCUGCUUAUUCCCCCAGGAAGUUCUCUGUCCUUCCAAGACAGUCCUUUUGUCUCCAGGUUGCUCAACCACCUGCACUGACUGGCACAAGGUCCCACCGGGAUAAACCUCUGUUGGGCUUCACACAAAUCAGCUACUAAGCAGCUCCCUGCUUAAGGCUGGAGGUAGUGUGGGCUGGCUCCUGUCUCACAACUGUAGGCACAGCUUGCUUCACCUGAGAGAAGGCAAGGAAAAGUCUGGGAGCCACUGUCAUCUGGCUUGAGGGGGAAGACCGGCUAAGGCCACCAAGGUCUUUUCAGGCCCUGCGUGACUCCUCUCAGGAGCCUCUCUGGUUUCUGAGAUCGUCUAAGUCCUCCCCAGCUUCUAGAUGAGUAGCUGUGGGUUCUCUAUGAGUGCAGUCUACCGUGCAAUGUCAGUCUUUCCCCCAGGUAAAGAAACAUGAGCGGUGCAGGUGCCCUUAAGCCCUUAGAAAUUCUGGGACUGAGCGAUACCCUCCAGAUGGGUUUUGCGGACUAAUCAGAUAUGGGAAGUUAGGAAAGCUGUAGGUGAGAAUCUCUCACAUCAGAGAAAAUAUGGAGCUUGGACCGUUGGGGGCAAUGGGUGUGGAUGAGAAAGACUGUAGUCAUUUUGUCCUUGACCCAGAUGGCAAUAUGCUCUCUUAAUAAAGGUUUACAGGUCAUGGGCUAACCAUGUAAGGGGUUAGCUAACAGAAGAAACCAGGAAGGCGUCUGAACAGAUUUACCAGCUGUUGGGGCCAAUGCGUAGUUGUAGCGUCAGAAUUCCGUCCACCUGAAACUUGACCGCUCCAGGAUUGCUCCGUAAUUCCUUGAUUUAUUUUCUUUAGGGGAUCCCUUUUUUAGAUACCAGAUACUUUCCUAAACGAUAGUGUAUCUCAUUCGUACUAAGUGAACUAAAAAAAAGCAUUUGUGUUCUCACUUGAAUCCGAGUUAAAAAGGCAGGCUGCCUUCCGGGGGCGGGGGAAGCCGGGAGCAUGGUAAAGGAGCAAGAAUCAAGGACAGGGCGUCAUGGCGACGGAGGGAGAAGGUGGGGUUCCUCACAUACCUGCUUGCACACCUUUCUUUCCAUAAAUCCCAUUUCUCAAGUCUUAAAUGGUUGGUGGUUUGAUUUUUAAGAGGCAAAAAAGUUGUGAUACUAAGCAGUCCGAGGUAUUCUAGGCAUGUCGGAGUUGGCCCAGCCCCAGGACAGAACCGUCUACCUUACGUGACAUGUGACAUCGCCCGGUUGGGGCAAGUCCUAAUCAACUGCUAUAUGAUCUUCCUACUUAUUCAGGAGUAUGGGGUUUCCUUCACUUGAUUUUAGGGCUUAACAGAAGGAUAGAAUCCAGGGACUGGAGUCAAGAGGGCUUGGCUUCCUUGGCUGUGUUGGCUGCAUCGUCGGUGAAGUAGUUGACUUUUAGCUCGCAUGGGUAUGCUACCUUGGGGUCCUACAAACCAGAUACUGAUAUUUCAAAAUUCCCUGUAAGAGGAUUUUUUUCAUUACACCAAAUAUGUGAGAGGAAACAUUCACCUGAAGUAUUAAAACAAAAAAUCUUAAAAGGGGGGAGCAGGUUUUCGUGUAAUGGGAAACAAGAAACUAAUCAUUUUGGAGAAAACCACUCAUCUUUGAGUAAAUGUGUGUGAAUCCUAUUUUGCUCCUGAUGGCGCAUUGGUAAUUCCUGACUUGUACCAUUUCUGACUUGAAAUCUAAGUCUAAACUUAGAUACUUCAGAUUACUCAGAUAGUGGAUGUGGCUGAGUCUCUGUAGGAUGGCUGUGGUAUUUUGAGUAUAGUGCUGGAUUAUUUUGAUCAUUCAUGCUAAUACGUUCAUUCAGUGUAUUGUGGCAUCCACACUAGUGGUUCCCUGUGUUCUAAAGAACAUUGACGUCCCAAGGAAUAUGGAUAUUUUUGUUGAGGGCGGGGGAGGAGCAUAGAGGGGACAGUCUGUAGUCACAUUAAAUUUGAGAAAUUCUGGGUUAAGCAAAAGCUAAGCAGAUUUCUUUGUGAAAGACCUCUCCAAAGUCUUUAGUUUGCUGUAUGUGUCUUUUGAAUGUCUACCUCAGCCCUCCCCUUUGGGUAGAACAUCUGUUAAUAUCAUUCAGGAUGCUUUUUCUGUAAGAGAGUUAGGGAAACACCACUCAAUUCUAAGCAUACAAUGAAAUGCAAUUGUUUAAUCAUGACCAGAGGGAUUUUAGCCUCUCGCCAGAUGGUUGUGAAAGUAAAGCCCCAGAGCAACUGUUACCUCUUUUUUUGGAAGGCCUUGUGAGAAGGAUGUCUCUUUAUCUCAGAGAGCAUUAUACAGUCCUUGUAAGAAGGAAAAGGAACCCGAGGACCCUGUAAUUCUCUGGUUUUAGAAUGCAGUCUUUUACAACCUUUUUACCAAUUAAGGCACCUUUGUCUGAAAAUGUUAGACCAAAUCUUAAAAAGCGUCUUUGCUACCUACCAUCGUGCAACGAUUUCCCCGAUAUAUAGUGGGUUAAAAUAACAAAUGUCUCACAGUUUCUGUGAGUGGGGAGUUCGGGAGUGACUUAGCUGGAGUGUUCUUGCCAAGAAUCCCUCAUGAAGUUGUAUCUCAGGACAUAGGCAGAGGCUGCAGUCAUCUCAGGGCCUGACAGGGGGUGGGAGUUCUGCUUCCGAGACGACUCCCCUACCUGUCUGUUGGCAGGUGACCUCGGUCCUUUGUGAUGUGUGCUUCCCCUUAGGUUGCUUGUGUGUCCCCAUCCUGUGAUAGCUAGCUUCAGUCACCAGGAGUGACCCGGGGGAGAGCAGGAGGAGGAAGCCAAGGUGCCUUUCGAGAUCCGGUGUCUGAGGCUGCAUAAUGUCACCCUGCUUUAUUCUAUUUGUUAGAAAUGAGUUCCUGAGUCCAGCUCACCUUCGAGGGAGGAGAUUUAGGCUUCCCCUCCUGUGAGGAAAAGAGUGAAAGGGUUGUGGACACAUGUUAAAGCUACCACAGAAGGUUUAAACGACAAGGAUGUGAGAAGGGGCAACAUGGGGCAGUGCCUGGGCUUCUCUAGUUCAUCAUAUCGGUGCCGUCACCAGGGAUCCAAGUGCUUCCCAUCUUCCAUCCUGCCGUGCUCGCUGACUUGGCUUUGUGUUCAGGUUAGUUCCCUGCACAGUGACCGAAUGACUGCACAAGUUCUGGCUGUCCUGUCCAGCUGCAGUAAUAGCCAGAAGAACAAAUGGAUGGCAUCUUCCUUGUAACGUGAUUUUUUUUUAAUUUUUAUUUAUUUAUGAUAGUCACAGAGAGAGAGAGAGAGAGAGGCAGAGACACAGGCAGAGGGAGAAGCAGGCUCCAUGCAGGGAGCCUGACGUGGGAUUCGAUCCCGGGUCUCCAGGAUCGCGCCCUGGGCCAAAGGCAGGCGCUAAACCGCUGCGCCACCCAGGGAUCCCAACUUUUUGUUUUUUUCCAUUAGGAAACCUCUCCUGGGAGCUCAUAGUGGUUUCCUGUCUUGCCAGGAGGUCAGAACUGCAUCAUAUAUGCGCAAGACUGAACCAAUCACAGGCAAGAGGAGUGGGAUUGCUAUGAGUGACUUAGGUAGACUUUCGUAGAUUCGGGGUCGGGAUAUGUGCCCUGAAGUGAUCCUGAAGCAGAUGAGAGCUCCCUUUACAAGGAAGAGUGGAAAUGACUACUGAGCUGACAGUGACCAGGUAGCUUGUUCUGGAUUCUUCGCCUCUUUCCAUAAUGGUCUUCCAGUCACCACGCCACUCGUACAGGGCACCAUCGCCCCUUUUGCAGAAUAUAAAGGCUUAUCCUUUAGACGGAAGAUCGAGUCUAGGGAACCCCUCAAUAGUUCUUUAUAUAAAACUCAUUCUAGUUAAAAAAUAUUUUAAAAUUUCAGGAAAUGUAAUCUCAAGACACAUCUUUAAUCAUAUUCAAUGUGUUGUUGGAAAAGAGGGGUUAGUUAUUAAACUAAAUCCACCACUCACAAG